rnacentral:rRNA from 1 species
GAUGAACGCUGGCGGCGUGCCUAAUACAUGCAAGUCGAGCGAACAGACGAGGAGCUUGCUCCUCUGACGUUAGCGGCGGACGGGUGAGUAACACGUGGAUAACCUACCUAUAAGACUGGGAUAACUUCGGGAAACCGGAGCUAAUACCGGAUAAUAUAUUGAACCGCAUGGUUCAAUAGUGAAAGACGGUGUUGCUGUCACUUAUAGAGGGAUCCGCGCCGCAUUAGCUAGUUGGUAAGGUAACGGCUUACCAAGGCAACGAUGCGUAGCCGACCUGAGAGGGUGAUCGGCCACACUGGAACUGAGACACGGUCCAGACUCCUACGGGAGGCAGCAGUAGGGAAUCUUCCGCAAUGGGCGAAAGCCUGACGGAGCAACGCCGCGUGAGUGAUGAAGGUCUUCGGAUCGUAAAACUCUGUUAUUAGGGAAGAACAAAUGUGUAAGUAACUAUGCACGUCUUGACGGUACCUAAUCAGAAAGCCACGGCUAACUACGUG